GAGUUUGAUUCUGGCUCAGACACGAACGCUGGCGGCAGGCUUAACACAUGCAAGUCGAGCGAGGACUUCGGUCCUAGCGGCGGACGGGUGAGUAACGCGUGGGAAUAUGCCUUUCGGUACGGAAUAGCCUCGGGAAACUGGGAGUAAUACCGUAUACGCCUUUAGGGGGAAAGAUUUAUCGCCGAAAGAUUAGCCCGCGUUGGAUUAGGUAGUUGGUGGGGUAACGGCCUACCAAGCCGACGAUCCAUAGCUGGUUUGAGAGGAUGAUCAGCCACACUGGGACUGAGACACGGCCCAGACUCCUACGGGAGGCAGCAGUGGGGAAUCUUAGACAAUGGGGGCAACCCUGAUCUAGCCAUGCCGCGUGAGUGAAGAAGGCCCUAGGGUUGUAAAGCUCUUUCGCCAGGGAAGAUAAUGACGGUACCUGGUAAAGAAACCCCGGCUAACUCCGUGCCAGCAGCCGCGGUAAUACGGAGGGGGUUAGCGUUGUUCGGAAUUACUGGGCGUAAAGCGUACGUAGGCGGACCAGUCAGUCAGGGGUGAAAUCCCGGGGCUCAACCCCGGAACUGCCUUUGAUACUGCUGGUCUUGAGGUCGAGAGAGGUGAGUGGAAUU
rnacentral:rRNA from 1 species